UACAGAGGGUGCAAGCGUUGUUCGGAAUUACUGGGCGUAAAGGGCGCGUAGGCGGUUUCGCAAGUCAAGGGUGAAAUCCCGGAGCUUAACUCCGGAAUUGCUUUUGAUACUGUGAGGCUAGAGUGUAUUAGAGGAUGGCGGAAUUCCUAGUGUAGUGGUGAAAUACGUAGAUAUUAGGAAGAACACCGGUGGCGAAGGCGGCCAUCUGGGAUACAACUGACGCUGAGGCGCGAAAGCGUGGGGAUCAAACAGG
rnacentral:rRNA from 1 species